rnacentral:rRNA from 1 species
UACGGGGGGAGCAAGCGUUGUUCGGAUUUACUGGGCGUAAAGGGCGCGUAGGCGGCCACCGCAAGUCGACUGUGAAAUCUCCGGGCUUAACUCGGAAAGGUCAGCCGAUACUGCGGGGCUAGAGUGCAGAAGGGGCAACUGGAAUUCUCGGUGUAGCGGUGAAAAUGCGUAGAUAUCGAGAGGAACACCUGCGGCGAAGGCGGGUUGCUGGGCUGACACUGACGCUGAUGCGCGAAAGCCAGGGGAGCGAACGGG